UUUACUGAUAUGUGUAAUGAUUUUCUACAAAAACAUUCUUUUCUUAUAUUAUUACUCCUCUGGUAUAACUUAACAAGGGAAAAAUAAAUACAUGGAAUACGCACUCUUUUAUCCCCACUCCUUUUUUUGUAAAUACUGAAGGAAGGAAAAAUAUUUGAAAGAGAAUACUCAUGUUCUUAUCUAUCACUGAGCUGUUGGAAUCGUUGAAAAAGAACGAAUUUGAUUGGUUGAAAGAGAUUAUAUAAAAAAAAAAGGAAUGAAACACGUUGAUACCCUUUCAUCUUCUAAACAACUUUUCCUCAGUAUUGUACAAAUCAUCAUCAAAGCAACUUCCCUUUAUUGCGCUCUCACGUGCAUCAUCAUUAUACCGAAGAAAACGGGUCUUUUUCAUGGGUUUCUAGAAACGAAGUUUCUCGUGCUUAUGUCGUUCUUUAUGGCAAGUUAUCCGCCACUCCAAAACCUCCGAUCAUAUCAACAACUUAAAAUUCUUCAAGAAACACAAGGUUCAAGGGAACGAAGGAUAAUUAAACGGUUCAUCAUUCAAUUUGGACGUAAAAAAGUUAUUUAUGUGUUAUAACGUCCCUUUAAAUGUUCUGGAUUAUGCCAAUUUCUCCAAGUUUAUUGAAAAAUAUACUGAAAAAACUUUUCCAGGUAGAUGGGUCGUUAAAAACUUGGUUGGGGAAGUAUGUCAAGGAGUUUUGAAUAGAUUAAAAGAAGAAGUGGAAGAAAAAGAUAUUUUAGUUGCACUAAAUGAGACAAGAGAUCAUCAAGGGACGUCAAUAAUGGCAAUUUUGGUUGACCCUUUAGAGGGAAUUUUCUGUGGGAGACCUUACCUUAUUGAGUUGAUCGAUAUUGAGAUUGCAAACGCAAACAAUGUAAAGAGCAUCGUCAUAAGCUCAGUUUAUGUUAUUGGGAGAAGAUUUUGUCCCGUGUAGACUUAAAGUUUUCAUCACUGAUACCGCCUCGUAUUGUCUCAAAGCAGGAGAAGAUCUUCGAAAAAAAAAUCCUGGAAUUGAUGCACAUUACAUGUAUUGCUCAUGGAUUACAUAGAGUUGCAGAUAUGGUUUAAUAAAAGUUUCCUCUAUUGGUGAUAGAUAUUCAGGGUUUUGGGAAUCGUUUUUUGCGCUAGCACGCCCACAAAUAUAACUUAAAUUAUCUGGUUUCUCUGUUUUCUUUCGGACA
rnacentral:lncRNA from 1 species